UACGAAGGGGGCUAGCGUUGCUCGGAAUCACUGGGCGUAAAGCGCACGUAGGCGGAUUGCUAAGUCAGGGGUGAAAUCCUGGAGCUCAACUCCAGAACUGCCUUUGAUACUGGCGAUCUUGAGUCCGGGAGAGGUGAGUGGAACUGCGAGUGUAGAGGUGAAAUUCGUAGAUAUUCGCAAGAACACCCGUAGCGAAGGCGGCACUCUGGGCCGAUACUGACACUGAGGAGCGAAAGCGUGGGGAGCGAACAGG
rnacentral:rRNA from 1 species